UCUGUGAUUCUAUGAUUUUUACUUUCUUGGCCCACUGGUCUUCAAUGACCUUCAAAAUCCCUCCAGCAGCUCUUAAAGGUGGGGGAAGAGAGGAAACAAGAUGGGAGGAGAGGUUGUGAGCAGGAGGUAGCUGGUCCUUGCAGCACACGGGGUGUGUCUGUGUGUGCACCGACUUUCCAUCGGGCUGAUGAAAGGACUGGGAGCUCUUGAAGCUGGAGCCAAGGUGAGUAACCUGUGGCUGUCCCAGGGAUGCUGGGGAGGGGAAGGCCUGUUUACUCAGGAGCAGCAGGGAUGCUCUGCCAGGAGCUGGGAUGUUCAGUAACAGCUUGCCGAGGAGGGGUUGGGAUUCAGCAUCCCAGCCCAUGCUGUGGGGAGGGAUGCUGGCCAGGCAGCUCCACUGUCAGCCCCCAGAUCAGUGGUCCAGGGGGAUGCACUAGCUGGGGGUGCAGGAUGUAGGGGGUUUGCCUCCUCACCAGGUCCCUGCAGCUGAGCAGGGGUAGCUGGGGCUGGUCCCUGCUGUGGUGGGGCUUUGGUGGAAGGGACAGCCCAGACUCCAGCUGGGAAGCAGUGGCUUUGUGCUGGUCUGGGCAAGGGGUUUCUAUCCCAGGCGAGGGGUCUCUGAUCCCUCCUGCCCCAGCAGCGAAAAGGUUUUUCCUCCUCCUGUGUGGAAAAGAAGCUCCCACUGCCAUCACACAGCUCCUUCUGCCUUGCCUAGGGUCUUGCUUGCACCCCACCUCCAAAUUUCCAAGGGCUUCCCGGACUCUCUUGUCACCCCUGUGUUGCAUUUGGGAUUUGUAUUUAAUUCUUAUUUAUCUCUCCAUAGGUUUGUCGCUGUCAUUGCUGCUGUUCCCAGCUUUCCAGCAGGUUUGCUCUGCAGAGAGCUGCAGGUUGGCUAUGAAAUAUGACAAAGCGUUCAUUUAAAUGCACACCAUGAUGUCGGCGAGUCCAUUAGGGGAAUUAAUUUGAAUGGUUGGCAUUUAAUAAACAGCCUCGUCCCUCCUCUCCACACACAACCCUCCCCCCCCUCACCACUGCCGGCAUCUUGGAAGGGUUAAAAAGAAACCACAUGUGGAUAUUGGAAGGAGUGGGGAGCAGGUAUCUGGGUCUGGGGAAGGGGGUGGGGGGGGAAUAAUAGAAGAGAUCUGGUGUUAUAAGAAGAAUUGCAGUUUGUUUUGUUCGCGGUAAAAAAAAAGCACAUGUGGAAGGGUUUUGGGUUCACGGGGUGUUUGGUGCAUGGAGAAAACAAGGGGGUGAAGGAGGAGGACACGCUCCGGCCGGAGGGUCCCACCCUGGCUCCGAACACGCCGGGCUGGGGGGAGGCGAGGGGGCUCCAGGGACGUGGCUCCCCAUAUGGUGUGUAUUACAAGCUCCUUUCUAGUUGUAAAGAUUAAUUUAAAGCCUUUCUCACCUCCCCCCCAUCCCUCUUCCAUUGACAAAUGAACAUCUGGGCUGAAUGCUGCCCAGAUCCUAAUCAAAGCAUUUUUUCCAGGGCCGUUGUCUGCCUUUAUGGCUAUCUGCUCUUCGGGUGCUCUGCAGUUCCAAUGCACUUGGCAAUUCAGCCUGUAAAUACCCCUCUCCGGGAUUUAUGAUUCGGGAUAAUGUGAUUUUUCUCUUUGCCUCUGGAUUCGUUUGUUUGGUUUAGUUUAACGACAUUUCCUUGUCUGUGCAUAAGUGAGGGCACGCAGGGAAUUUUUUUCCUCUCCCCUCUUUGCAGGGAUCUAUUAGCAAUGAGCAAAAAUGGCUUUUUUGGGGAGCUGAUGGACACGCCAGGGGGGCCAAAGCCAGUCCUGAAUCCCUGGUGAGCAACCCCAGUCAUCCCAAACCAUCUAUUUUUUCCUACAGAAAGCUUGUUUUUGAGGUUUUAUCGAGAAAGCAGCUUUCCACCAAAGCAAAGCCAAGCCCUUUCCACGAUGUUUGAGGGCUACUUCAUCAGGGAGAGGCAGCAGGAGGCACAGUCCAGUAUGGAAAAGCUGUUUGCUUCCCAAAAUGAGGCUCGAGAAGCCAAAUGAGAUGCUUGAAAAACUGGGAGUGCUGCGGCUGGAAUCCCAUUCCCAUCAGACUUGAUUUUUCCCCUGCAAGCUCCAGUUUGGGAGUUAAAGGAUUAAUAUAUAAAACCUUAGGUGUUGAACAAUGUUUGUCAUGUCCCAGGUGCUGUAGGAAAGGAUGGUGCUUGAGAUGGGGCAAAAAGGCAGGAAAAUCCCUUUAAGGCAAAUACAGGGACUCGCAGGGGAUGUGGCACCGGUGCUGUGUUUUCCCUGUCCCUGAAGGGGGAGAGAGCUGGGAAACACAAAGAUGAUGGGUUUGGGGUACUCUUGCAGAAAUUCUGCUCCCUGGACCUGGGCUUCCCUUUCCCUCUGGCAGAAUGGCAAGGCCAGUUGCUCAUCCCAGUGGAUGGUGUGUGAUUUCAGUCCAUUUAAACCACCACGGAGAGGUCGUGUUUAUACACCAAGUGCGUGGGGUAAUGGCACCUGUAAUUAAAAACGUUCUCCCAAGUGAAAUAAAAAAUCACCAUGGUGGAAAGCUCUUGGCUGCUCCUCCUUGGCUCUCCAGGACAAGGUGCAAUCUGGAUUUUGGUGAUGCAGGGCUGGGAAUCAUCCAUCACUGGGACCCUCUCCACCCAGGGAUGUCACUGGGGAAGCAGAGAUGCAGAGUGCUUGGCACCUCCUGCCUCUUUUUCAUUCCUUUCCUCCUUGAUUCCGUCCAAAUGAGCAGGAAGCAAGGCUGCUGACCAUGGAUCUUCCCAGCAAUGCCGUUGCUGUCCUGUCCACCCUGAGGAAAGGGUGAAGUCUGGCAUCCAUCUGCAGCUGAGCCAGCGCAUCCAUGAGGUGAGAGUGGCCAUCAGCAGCUCCAGGGAAGAGGCCCCAAUUUCUCCCCUGUCGAGGCAAACGCUUUGGCUAAUUAGCAAAACGUGUCAAAGAAAAUGAUUAAUGUCCCGGGAGGAGGCUGAGCUGCCUUUGUGCCGGCAUUGCCUGACUUCUGCUCUUAAAGGUUUUAUUAAAAGAUAAGGGAGCUCGUGACGGGGAACCUCUCGUGCUGCUGAUUCAGAAAUAAACCUGAGGAGUGGUUGGCAGUGAAGGCAGCGGUGAGGAGACGUGCAGAGCCCGGGGCUUGCAGGGGAGUUCUGGGGUGAGGGCGAGGAGCUGGGAUGGAGGGCUGCUGGUGCAGGUCCUCCUCGGGCAGAGCUGCCUUCCCUGAGGGACCCCUGGGCUGAGGUGGCAAUAUUGGGAGUUGGGGUUGUUCAGCCUGGAGAGGAGAAAGCUCUGGGGAGACCUUAAAGCCCUUUGCAGUGCCUAAGGGGCUCCAGGAGAGCUGGAGAAGGA